rnacentral:rRNA from 1 species
ACCUACAGCCAUACCACCCUGAACAUGCCUAAUGUUGUCCGAUCUCGGAAGCUAAGCAGGGAAGCAGGGUCAUGCCUGGUUAGUACUUGGUUGGGAGACUGCCUGGGAAUACCAGGUGCUGUAGGGU